rnacentral:miRNA from 1 species
CAAGAUUCCAUCUCGACCUCAU